GGGGAUGUAGCUCAGUGGGAAAGCACUUGCCUAGUAUGCAUGAGGCCUGGUUUGAUCCCCAGCACAUCCC
rnacentral:tRNA from 1 species